CAUAGCUCCCUUCUAGCUGCUUUAUGGCAAUGGGAAAGAGAACAGGAAAGAUGGCGGUAGAGAACUGAAUUCUGGGAAUAGGAAAGAUGGAGGCAGAGAACUGAAUUCUGGGAAUGGGAAAGAUGGAGGCAGAGAACUGAAUUCAAAUAGAUAGCCUCACUCUUACGUACAUGGAGUUCCACAUCCAAGUCCUCCCUGCUGCUUCUGUCCUCUUUCCAGAAGCUUCGACGGAAGUUUGCCACCAACUUCCAGACAAAGCUCUCUUAAAAUUUACCACC
rnacentral:lncRNA from 1 species